rnacentral:rRNA from 1 species
CUACGGGACGCAGCAGUGGGGAAUUUUGCGCAAUGGGGGAAACCCUGACGCAGCAAUACCGCGUGAGUGAAGAAGGCCUUUUGGGUCGUAAAGCUCUUUUCUUGGGGAAGAUAGUGACGGUACCCAAGGAAUAAGCACCGGCUAACUCCGUGCCAGCAGCCGCGGUAAUACGGAGGGUGCAAGCGUUGUUCGGAUUUACUGGGCGUAAAGGGCACGUAGGCGGCACAGCAAGUUAAGGGUGAAAUCCCGGGGCUCAACUCCGGAACUGCUCUUAAAACUGCUGAGCUAGAGAUAGUCAGAGGCGGGUGGAAUUCCAGGUGUAGAGGUGAAAUUCGUAGAUAUCUGGAGGAACACCGGUGGCGAAGGCGGCCCGCUGGGGCUAUUCUGACGCUAAGGUGCGAAAGCGUGGGGAGCAAACGGGAUUAGAUACCCGUGUAGUC